CAAACUCCGGCACCAGCUGAAGCUGCCCAGGACAGGACGCCACGAAUCACCCCCAAGUCCCAGCGAAGAGGGAAACCCGACCCCAUUACAGGGAAUGUCAGAUCCUGGAGGAGACAAGCCCGGGAGAAGGUGCAGCGGAAAGGAAGGCGGCCCCCGGGCCCAGCCCGAACCCCGCGGGAGACCGCCCCCUCCUCGCGGUCCCGGCUCCCGUCCGGGACCAGCCUGAAGGCGGCUAUUCGCGCCCUGUGGCCCUCCCUCAAUCCCCAUCUAGUGCCUCGAGACCAAGUGAGACGAGUUCCUCGUCCUCUUUUGAGCACUCCCCCCCGGGGGUCUUGGUUCAAGGAGCCCCGCACUUACCACCGCCUGCUGAGCCAAGCCGGGAGGUCUGAGCUCGCCUGGGCAGGCGAGGGGGCGGGUCUGAGCUGACCGGGGCGGGGAGCGCAGCUCGAGGCUUCCGGCUUCUCCCCGCCUCCUGGCCGGGCUCCUGGAGAGCUUCAGCCCCGUCCCGUACUUUCCCGUCCCAGUCGCGUCCCGUCCCGCCUAGUCUCGCUCUCCGCCCCCUUUCUCUUCCCUGCCCAACCCCUUCCUCUCGCGACGGGAGGCUCCCCCAGCUGUAACACUGCAGCCCUGGCCUCCCUGUGUCCCUCCUGUCCAGUUCAAGGCAGACCCCUCCAAACUCUAGAUUCAUAAACUCCCAGAUUUGGAAGGAACCUUAGAAAUCAUCGAGCCCAGAGGUUCUUAGCCUUCUGUGGGCCAAGAAUAUCCCCUUCCGGUCUGGUCUAGCUCUUCUCACGAUCAUGUUGAAUGCACAGAAUCCAUAGGAUUAAAAAAGAAAACGGAUGAGGGAAAAGCAAGAUGCCAUUUUUUUCAUCAUCCAAGUUUGUGGUCCCUGGGAAAUCUGCCCUUUCCCCUCCCCCACCUACCUCCUCUACUCCCGCGGGCCAUAGACUCCUGCUUAGGUAGGAAUCCUCCAUCUGGUCCCACGUCCUCAUUUUACAGAGAGGGAAACCGAGGCCCAAAGGCCAGUGAGUGACAAAACUGGAUAGAACGAGAAUUCCGGGUCAUCCCAUUCCCAGUACAAGAUUCUUUACCUAAGAUCUUUUCCCCGUCUCCCUCAAAUUUUCCCUUUUUGUCUCCCAGUUUUGCUUUCAAUUCCUUCCCCAGUCAUACUCUUGCCAUCCCUUGUCUUUCCCAGAUUCUGACCUCACUCCAUUAGUUCCCCUCUCUCACAGGCCUUGGUGCCCCCCCUGUGCCUUCUCUCAGAGGGGCCAAUGAUCCCUUCUCCCUAAGAAUUCGCUGAGCUGACUACGUAAUCACAGUCUCUUCUGUCCUUUUUACCC
rnacentral:lncRNA from 1 species